rnacentral:rRNA from 2 species
AGAAUCAACGCUGGCGGCGUGCCUAACACAUGCAAGUCGAACGCGAAAGGGGAGCAAUCCCUGAGUAGAGUGGCAAACGGGUGAGUAACACGUGGGUGACCUGCCUCAGAGUGGGGGAUAACGUCCCGAAAGGGACGCUAAUACCGCAUAACAUCCUGCCUUUGGAAAGGCGGAGAUCAAAGCCGGGGAUCGCAAGACCUGGCGCUUGGAGAGGGGCCCGCGUCUGAUUAGCUAGUUGGUAGGGUAAUGGCCUACCAAGGCAACGAUCAGUA